CCUACGGGAGGCAGCAGUAAGGAAUAUUGGUCAAUGGAGGCAACUCUGAACCAGCCAUGCCGCGUGCAGGAAGACAGCCCUAUGGGUCGUAAACUGCUUUUAUACGGGAAUAAACUUUGAUUCGUGAAUCAAGCUGAAUGUACCGUAAGAAUAAGGAUCGGCUAACUCCGUGCCAGCAGCCGCGGUAAUACGGAGGAUCCAAGCGUUAUCCGGAUUUAUUGGGUUUAAAGGGAGCGUAGGCGGCCUAUUAAGUCAGGGGUGAAAGACGGUGGCUCAACCAUCGCAGUGCCUUUGAUACUGAUGGGCUUGAAUAUAGUUGAGGUAGGCGGAAUGUGACAAGUAGCGGUGAAAUGCAUAGAUAUGUCACAGAACACCGAUUGCGAAGGCAGCUUACUAAGCUAUGAUUGACGCUGAGGCUCGAAAGCGUGGGGAUCAAACAGGAUUAGAUACCCUGGUAGUCCACGCCCUAAACGAUGAUAACUCGAUGUUGGCGAUAUACAGUCAGCGUCCAAGCGAAAGCGUUAAGUUAUCCACCUGGGGAGUACGCCCGCAAGGUGAAACUCAAAGGAAUUGACGGNNGAGAGNGCGAGGACGACGACGAGGGGAGGAGG
rnacentral:rRNA from 1 species